CUUGCUGCUUGGGACUUGUGCAAUGACCACCAGACCUGCUCUGCUCUCUUGUUCAGGUACUGGAGGACUGCAGCCUUUGCUGGGAAGGACGCUGCCCCUGCCUGCUCACCUUCCCUUACAGAGCAUCCCUUUCUUGCUUCUCCCUGACAGCAUGCUUGGUUCAAUAGUCGGCACAGGGUAAAACAUUGGGUGGAAUUACUUCUCAUCUUGACAAGCAUCCUGAAAAAACUUUCAGAUGCCUGAUGCUAUUGAGUCAAGAUCACCAGAUCUGACACCACAUCUUGGACUCUUCUAUGCCACCUCACUUCAGAAUGGUGCUGAAAUGCUGCAGAGAUCUAUAAGAUGUGCUCCAAAUCAGUGUCUCCAAAACAGACCUGCCAAGUGGACUCACUUCAACAUUGUGACCUGAACUGCUCCAAGAUCAGGCACCAGGUAUGUGCAUGACUCCCCUGGUUCCUUAGCAGGCCAAGCAGCCCCAGGACUUUGCCCUGGACAGCAUGGGCAUACCAGCUAUGGGCACACCACCAGCUCCACAGGGCAUGUGCUUGAGAUCUCCGCCAUGGAACCGGGAGCUUGAGCCUUUUGGGUGCCCUGUUUCCCAUGAGACACAAGCCUGGGCUGACUUCUCUGUAAAACUAAUUCUUGUCAAUUCUGUGGGUGUUAAGAGUGAAAGACAUGAUGUGAAAAUAGCUGCCUGUAUUAUAUCUGUCUGUGAGUUUCCUAUCAGCCUGUGAAACUGUCAAGGCCAAGUUUUUCAAAUAGCUGCAGAAUCCCAGGAGUACAAGUUCCGUAUAUAUAGCUCAUCUGGUGCUUUUUCUCUCUUUCUAAGAAACAAAAAUUUCGGGGAAACAUUUAUUUCAUUGAAAUCCCCGUAUUUCUUGUGAAUUAGGCCUGACCAAAAGGAGUUCUAUCAGCUGCAUGGCAACAUUUAUCCAAAUAAUGCAGCAGUGACCUCUGCUGCACGGCUGAUGCUAUUUCAUACUUGUUCUGCUAAAUUAAACCUGCUGUUAAUACUCUUUCACAUAAGUUAAAACAAUUUUUUCAAAAGCAAGUAUUCUUGCCUCAAGGUAAGAGCAUUUCUCUUAAUAUUAAUACGAGGGCUUCAAGCCACAGAAGAUUAUUUUUCAAGUUACUGACAUGAAUGUACCACAACUAUGUUUUAAUGCUUUCAUUGGUUAUCAAAAAGAGUAUUACAUUAAAUGAACCUUGAA